rnacentral:rRNA from 1 species
ACUCCUGGACGUCAAGGGACGAACGCCUAGGCGGCGUGCCUAACACAUGCAAGUCGAACGGAGCUUUGCGCUGAAAUUGAGAGUAGCUUGCUACAGGAUAUUUCUUGUAAAGCUUAGUGGCGGACGGGUGAGUAACGCGUGAGGAACCUGCCUUACAGAGGGGGACAACAGUUGGAAACGACUGCUAAUACCGCAUAACAUAGCGAAAGGACAUCCUUUUGUUAUCAAAGGAGCAAUCCGCUGUAAGAUGGCCUCGCGUCCGAUUAGAUAGUUGGCGGGGUAACGGCCCACCAAGUCUACGAUCGGUAGCCGGACUGAGAGGUUGAACGGCCACAUUGGGACUGAGACACGGCCCAGACUCCUACGGGAGGCAGCAGUGGGGGAUAUUGCACAAUGGAGGAAACUCUGAUGCAGCAACGCCGCGUGAGGGAAGAAGGUUUUCGGAUUGUAAACCUCUGUUUUUAGUGACGAAACAAAUGACGGUAGCUAAAGAGGAAGCCACGGCUAACUACGUGCC